CAGACAUGUGUCAGAUUGGGCCCAGGUCUUUUUGAUCAAGCGGUGAUAGACAGCUGGUGUAUUGCUAAAGGCUGCUGUUAGAAAGCUGCUUAUGCAAGCCGAAGAACUGAACAAACACAUGGAGUGUGAUGGGUCCAGUAACAGGAAGUGCAAAGGAACUGCUCUCAGAUACCAGCGUGAUGGAUGUGCUCCACAGUCUAUUCGAAUAAGGCUUUUAUACCACGUCUUUGGCUGUCAGUCAGAGAGUGCUCAAGAGCUGGUAAUGGAACGGAUAGCUGUGUGGUCAAAGACUGGUCUGAAUGUUGAAUCCAAAGUAUUGUUGUGCAGCAGCAGAGAGGAGGCAGCUGAUACAGCUCUAGGCAAUGAAGACAAGGAAACUGCCAGCCUGCUUUUGGAUGCUGUUAAAAAUAAUUUCGCGUGUGCAUCAAAUAACUGCAACCCACUUCCAGAAUGAAAAGGAGGUGAGCCUCUGAGAAUCAUUGGGAACAUGUACAGGAUGUACACUGAGGCUGAAGUGGAAAUCAAUCUCUGCUCAACUGAGGAUACGUCCUUUAAGAGCUGGUGUGAUAUACAGUCAAUGACAGGCAACCCUUUGAAAAUAGAAUUCUGUGCGGUAUUUGUAAAACAGGGAUUGAUAACUGUCUCAACACUAUAGGGGAGGAGGGAGAAAUAAUUAUCAU